ensembl:lncRNA
GAGGCAAAUAUUUAUUUAGUUCAUAUAUAAAUUGUACAUGAUGUUCAUGGGUGCUAUAAACACAGGCAGGUUUAGGAAAAAAAAAAAAGCAAAACUCAAGAUACACCCAAAAAUCAUUUCCACACCUCAUUGAUGCCAUUCAUUAAAUACCUCUGUCUGGGUAGCUCAUAAUAAUCGUAUAGUUUGAUUUGUUUUAUUAUUUAGCUCAUGUUAAAAAAAGAUGGCAUCAUCUCUUUACUCUGGUCUUCUUGAAAUGGCCAUACGAUGAAGAAUCUACCAAGUAAAGAUUGUUCAUUUAGGAACAAGCAUUAUGGGUUCCAUAUUUCACAGAACUAAGAACAAAGCAAAUCAGAAAAAAAAUUCUCCCAAAUGCCUAAGCUGAUACACUGACCAAGAUAUGAAUCAGACUUAUUUUGUGUCAUCCACUAACGCCUAAGACAAGAUAAAAAAAACAUACUCUAAAGUCAUUAUUUAAAGAUGACAUUUGAAAUCCAAGCUGAGAAACAAUAGUGGUUUUGAAACUGAUUCAUCAUAGCCACUCUGAUAUGAUAUACUUUAAUUAGGAGGAAAAAAUUAUUCAUGUACACAACUCUCUUAGUAAAAGUUCCUAUUUCUUGCUAAUAACACAUUUCAAUUUACUUCAGAAAAUGCAUUGAUUUUUAUUCAAAUACACUUUUCCUAAAAUAUAAAUAUUUAAAUUAAAAUUUAAAAAAUGGAAAGGACAGUUUAUGUUGACUCUUACCAGAUCAGUCUAAAACUUAAGCAAUAAAGAAACAAUAUCUGUAACUAUGGUCAAUUUAAUUUGUCUAUAAAUAUAUAAUAGAAUCUUUGCAACUUGAGUAAUUAACUCAAACUUCAUGUAGUACCGAGCACCUUAGAUUACACAUUGUUGAAUUAAACUAUUGGAAUUAAUAUAUGUAUCAUGUUAUUUACAAUACAUAAGUAUAAUUCUCUUGUAUAACAGUGAUUUCUGAAUUCCAGUGAUUUCUGAAAAUAUAUAAUGUGAAAGAAUACAAUACAAUUUACAAAUGCAUCAGCACUUUCCUACAGGUUUGAAGCUGGCCUCCACUCUUCAACAUUUUAAAAUAGGAAACCAACCAAAAGUCAAUGUCCUAUGGUGGUAUUUCCUCAAGCAUCACCUAUAAAAUCCACUAGUUUCACAGAUGCCCCAUUAUGAAGAAGUGCAAGGCAUAGAGCCCUCACCCCCACCUUCAAGAUUAUGAUCCAUGAAGACCAGAAUUUUUGAGGAGACUAGUGACUCCAACAAGGGCCUAACAUAUCUUAAGUUGCUAUUUUGUAAAUAUUUUUAAUCAACCAGCUCCUAAGUUACCCACCCCCCAUAUGAGAACACUGUGUCCCUUGGAAAUGGUGUUGUAUGGGAAGUGCUUUGGGGAAAUGAUGGUUUAAAGAACAACUGUAACAUUAUAAACACACAGGUCUGAGGAAGCUCAAUCUGGGACCUUUAGGCAGGUUCGCUUUGCAUAGGUGUCUGCUAAACUAUGACUCUUCAGCACAUGCAGAAUACAGAGCAUGUUUCCAUGUAAGACUACAUGGAAAACGAGUUCUGAAAAUUCAUAAAUCUUAGGCUUAGUUUUCAGGGCUUGUGAAAAGUCGCUCCAAAAUCAAAUAAUGGGUGUAGUUUAGUGACUGGAUCUUGAAA